rnacentral:ncRNA from 14 species
GAGUUUUCUAGAGGCUCUCUCCUCCUCCCUGAGCCUCGGAAAUCGGCGGCGACCCUUCUCCUCCUCCCUAGGGUCGCCGCCACACUCACUCCUCCAGAUGCCC